rnacentral:pre_miRNA from 1 species
GAUUUAAACUGAAAAAGUCAUCAACAACAAAGUUUUAUAACUCACUAAUAUAUAUAACUUUUAUUUUGGUCAUUUCUUCAUCCGAUAAAGAGAUAGUAACAUUGUUCACAAAAUUUACAACUCUUAUAGAGAUGUAAUUUUUGUGAACAAUGUUACUAUCACUUUGUCAGAUGAAGAAAUGACCAAAAUAAAAGUUAUAGAAAUUGGUGAGUUAUACAACUUUGUUGUUGAUGACUUUUUCAGUUUAAAUC